AUGACUGGUAUCCAACCUUUUGGAUAGAAUGGAUUCUUACCAAUGGGUAACUACUCCUGAAAGAAAGAGGUGAAGAUUUCCAAUGAAAACCAUGAUCAAGAGGCAAGGGUGGUAAGGAACAUACUAAGAAGACCCUGAGAAGCUGUCAUGGAAACUUCUAGCAUGAGUUGGAAAUGACAACUGAGAGUCCUGGAUAAUGUGUUCUUGUAAGAUCAACUUGCCUCUGGAGAGGAAUAAUAAAAGACUGCAGAUGCA